rnacentral:misc_RNA from 1 species
GUCGAAGCUAAUGCAGGAGAAUUCUGAGUUGAAGCUGAAGUUGAGGUCUGUUCAGAUGCCAACCUCUUGUGAUGACAAUGGCCGAGAGGCUGAACUAUUGGAGGAAACAAACCGGGUGAGAGAUGAGAAUGACAAGCUGAAGAAGGACAUCGAGCGGCUCUACAAUGAUCGUUGCAUGGAUGUUGAGGAAUUGGUGUAUCUGAGGUGGAUCAACGCUUGCCUACGGUAUGAGCUGAG